CCUGCCCCGAGCCCUGGCACUGCCCAUGGGUGCCCAGACCCCUGGUGGCCGAGGGGCCGUGAGGGCCGUGAGGGCCGCGCCCGGACAGGGCCUGGCGGGCGUGAGGGGUCACGGCCCAGGUACCCCCGGACAGCGGGAUGGCCCCUUUGGUUUGCCUUCACCAGAACCACUUUUAGAAGUACAAGAGGAGUGAAGGAAAAAUGUUUUCAAACUUCUGUGAAAAGCCAAAUGCAAAACCUUCUCCAGCCAAGGCAAGUUUAACUGAGGCUCAUCCUUCUGGACCUGCUGCCAUCUGGGACUCUGACAUUGUGCCCUGCUGUACAUGGGGAUAAGAGGUGAAACACAGGAGAUGUUGUUACACACUGGGUUUUCUUGGCAUCUGACAAUAACUGGGUAUUGCUUCAUCAGUUUGAGUUAAUCAGUGCAUCCUUCAGUCUCCAAUGGCCCAGGUUAUGCUGUGCAUGGUGGGAGUAUCCUCAGCUGCAGUGUGUGCCCCACAGCUUCCCUGCAGACUGCCUGUGGUACCCACCUAAAGACACUCCUGGUAAUGUUCAGUGAGCAGAGCAGGAAGCACUACUCUGUAAAUCCUGGGAGAGUAUGCAGAAAAGCCAGUGUCACUUGUCUUCUGGAUGAAGCUGCUGGGAUAUAGCUGAAUUUUGCUCAGUUUCUGAAUUUCUCGGAAUUCUUACGUGAAUAAAGAUAGUAAGAGUUACCCAA